CCUACGGGUGGCAGCAGUGAGGAAUAUUGGUCAAUGGACGAGAGUCUGAACCAGCCAAGUAGCGUGAAGGAUGACUGCCCUAUGGGUUGUAAACUUCUUUUAUAUGGGAAUAAAAUGUUCCACGUGUGGGAUUUUGUAUGUACCAUAUGAAUAAGGAUCGGCUAACUCCGUGCCAGCAGCCGCGGUAAUACGGAGGAUACGAGCGUUAUCCGGAUUUAUUGGGUUUAAAGGGAGCGUAGGUGGAUUGUUAAGUCAGUGGUGAAAGUUUGCGGCUCAACCGUGAAAGUGCAGUUGAAACUGGCAGUCUUGAGUACAGUAGAGGUGGGCGGAAUUCGUGGUGUAGCGGUGAAAUGCUUAGAUAUCACGAAGAACUCCGAUUGCGAAGGCAGCUCACUGGACUGCAACUGACACUGAGGCUCGAAAGUGUGGGUAUCGAACAGGAUUAGAUACCCCUGUAGUC
rnacentral:rRNA from 1 species